rnacentral:rRNA from 1 species
CCUACGGGAGGCUGCAGUGGGGAAUAUUGGGCAAUGGGCGCAAGCCUGACCCAGCAACGCCGCGUGAAGGAAGAAGGCUUUCGGGUUGUAAACUUCUUUUUGGAGGGGAGAGCAGACGACGGUACCUCUUGAAUAAGACACGGCUAACUAAGUGCCAGCAGCCGCGGUCAUACGUAGGUGGCAAGCGUUGUCCGGAUUUACUGGGUGUAAAGGGCGUGCAGCCGGGAAGACAAGUCAGCUGUAAAAUCGCGCGGCUCAACCGCGUCCCGCAGUUGAAACUGGCCGCCUUGAGUACACAACAGGCAGGCGGAAUGCGUGGUGUAGCGGUGAAAUGCAUAGAUAUCACGAGGAACCCCGAUGGCGAAGGCAGCCUGCCGGGGUGCGACUGACGCUGAGGCUCGAAGGUGCGGGUAUCAAACAGGAUUAGAUACCCUAGUAGUC